rnacentral:rRNA from 1 species
UACGAAGGGGGCUAGCGUUGCUCGGAAUCACUGGGCGUAAAGGGUGCGUAGGCGGGUCUUUAAGUCAGGGGUGAAAUCCUGGAGCUCAACUCCAGAACUGCCUUUGAUACUGAGGAUCUUGAGUUCGGGAGAGGUGAGUGGAACUGCGAGUGUAGAGGUGAAAUUCGUAGAUAUUCGCAAGAACACCAGUGGCGAAGGCGGACU